AUGAUUUUCAUUAGUGCUGAUUCCAAGCAUAUCAAUAAGUGUUUUGGAGGCCAUGAGACAGGAGAUAUGUUUAUUCCACCGGAAACUGCUGUUGUUUUAGAUCUUAGUGCUCCUCUAAGGGCUGCAAAUACUCAUGAGCUGAUUCUGGAUCUGAUAUUCACUUCUAGCAUUUUCUUUCGCUUUAUUGGACUUUGGAAAAUGGGUGCAAACUACUAA